UUCAUUUUCUCUCCACUAGCUUUCUCUUUUCUUUCUUCUCCAUUUCCUUAUUUUUUUCUCUUGAAAAAGAGUUCUUGCACAACCUUGAGAGUUGCCGUAUUCAGCUUUAUUGAGGGUAAAUUGGCUUAUUUGUGACGACAAGACAAGAAGAGUAAAGGAAUGAGCGAUCAAUUUAUGCCUUGGGAGCAUCCAGAAUCAACUAGAGUUUCUUCUUCCCUUUUUAAUCUUUUGUUUUGUUCAAUUCAUAAAUAUGAG
rnacentral:lncRNA from 1 species